rnacentral:rRNA from 1 species
UACGAAGGGGGCUAGCGUUACUCGGAUUGACUGGGCGUAAAGGGCGCGUAGGCGGCUUGUACAGUCAGACGUGAAAUUCCUGGGCUCAACCUGGGGGCUGCGUUUGAUACGUGCGGGCUUGAGUUCGGAAGAGGGUCGUGGAAUUCCCAGUGUAGAGGUGAAAUUCGUAGAUAUCGAGAGGAACACCGGUGGCGAAGGCGGCCAACUGGACGAAUACUGACGCUGAGACUCGAAAGCGUGGGGAGCAAACAGG